GGGCCCAUAGCUCAGUUGGCUAGAGCGCUUCCCUUACAAGGAAGAUGUCAUCGGUUCGAGUCCGGUUGGGCCCA
rnacentral:tRNA from 1 species